rnacentral:rRNA from 2 species
GCCCAACUGAUUGAUGGUGCUUGCACCUGAUUGACGAUGGAUCACCAGUGAGUGGCGGACGGGUGAGUAACACGUAGGUAACCUGCCCCGGAGCGGGGGAUAACAUUUGGAAACAGAUGCUAAUACCGCAUAACAGCAAAAGCCACAUGGCUUUUGCUUGAAAGAUGGCUUUGGCUAUCACUCUGGGAUGGACCUGCGGUGCAUUAGCUAGUUGGUAAGGUAACGGCUUACCAAGGCGAUGAUGCAUAGCCGAGUUGAGAGACUGAUCGGCCACAAUGGAACUGAGACACGGUCCAUACUCCUACGGGAGGCAGCAGUAGGGAAUCUUCCACAAUGGGCGCAAGCCUGAUGGAGCAACACCGCGUGAGUGAAGAAGGGUUUCGGCUCGUAAAGCUCUGUUGUUGGAGAAGAACGUGCGUGAGAGUAACUGUUCACGCAGUGACGGUAUCCAACCAGAAAGUCACGGCUAACUACGUGCCAGCAGCCGCGGUAAUACGUAGGUGGCAAGCGUUAUUCGGAUUUAUUGGGCGUAAAGCGAGCGCAGGCGGUUGCUUAGGUCUGAUGUGAAAGCCUUCGGCUUAACCGAAGAAGUGCAUCGGAAACCGGGCGACUUGAGUGCAGAAGAGGACAGUGGAACUCCAUGUGUAGCGGUGGAAUGCGUAGAUAUAUGGAAGAACACCAGUGGCGAAGGCGGCUGUCUGGUCUGCAACUGACGCUGAGGCUCGAAAGCAUGGGUAGCGAACAGGAUUAGAUACCCUGGUAGUCCAUGCCGUAAACGAUGAGUGCUAGGUGUUGGAGGGUUUCCGCCCUUCAGUGCCGGAGCUAACGCAUUAAGCACUCCGCCUGGGGAGUACGACCGCAAGGUUGAAACUCAAAGGAAUUGACGGGGGCCCGCACAAGCGGUGGAGCAUGUGGUUUAAUUCGAAGCUACGCGAAGAACCUUACCAGGUCUUGACAUCUUGCGCUAACCUUAGAGAUAAGGCGUUCCCUUCGGGGACGCAAUGACAGGUGGUGCAUGGUCGUCGUCAGCUCGUGUCGUGAGAUGUUGGGUUAAGUCCCGCAACGAGCGCAACCCUUGUUACUAGUUGCCAGCAUUAAGUUGGGCACUCUAGUGAGACUGCCGGUGACAAACCGGAGGAAGGUGGGGACGACGUCAGAUCAUCAUGCCCCUUAUGACCUGGGCUACACACGUGCUACAAUGGACGGUACAACGAGUCGCAAGCUCGCGAGAGUAAGCUAAUCUCUUAAAGCCGUUCUCAGUUCGGACUGUAGGCUGCAACUCGCCUACACGAAGUCGGAAUCGCUAGUAAUCGCGGAUCAGCAUGCCGCGGUGAAUACGUUCCCGGGCCUUGUACACACCGCCCGUCACACCAUGGGAGUUUGUAACGCCCAAAGUCGGUGGC